CCGAAGACCGAGAAUAGGAGUAUAUCGAACUCCUAGUACUCUUGUUGCAGUGGGCUGGUUCUAUGGACUAACCUAUUAGAAAGGCACGGAACUUGGUCAUAUUCUUACCUCGGUUGGAGAAGCGAGUAGGGUAACUCCUGAGGCCCAAGGUAGCCUGUGGAUAGCAGAUAUCGUCAAGGAUUUUACUCAACUUUACUACUCCAAAAACUGUAGGUUUACUGCCUUUAUGCACUUUUGUUCCUUGUGGGCCCAUGAGUCACUGUAAAGUAAAUUUCAUAUCUCGAUUAUCUGUGUUAUAGUACGUAUGAAUUUAUUUAGCUUUUACAUUACAAAAAUUAUUU